rnacentral:lncRNA from 1 species
AAAAAUAAAUGAUAAAACUAGUAGUAGAAGAAGACGGUUAAAUUUUACAGACACCAUAUCUGUUUAUAAGAAUAUCGUAUUUGAACAUAAAAAAGGUAAAGAAAAUGAAUUAGCAGACCGAUUAAGUAGAUUACAACUGGGAAUAAAUAAAUAAGUUUAAUAUGACUCAUUUGUUUUCAGCAUGAGACCAACAGGACAACCUCCUGCAGAUAAAGGCAAGGGCGUAGCUUCGUCUUCGGAUUCAUAUCAACAGACAAUGUUAGGUAAUUUAAAUUUUAGACCACUAGAAUCUUUAGAAACAAUGGAAAGAAUUCACUUUGGACCAUUUAACUUAAUUGCUUACCCUGAGAGUAACAUAUCAUUUAGAAUAAGACCAGAC